rnacentral:rRNA from 1 species
UAAAGCACUUUUGUCCGGAAAGAAAUGGCUCUGGUUAAUACCUGGGGUCGAUGACGGUACCGGAAGAAUAAGGACCGGCUAACUACGUGCCAGCAGCCGCGGUAAUACGUAGGGUCCAAGCGUUAAUCGGAAUUACUGGGCGUAAAGCGUGCGCAGGCGGUUGUGCAAGACCGAUGUGAAAUCCCGCCCCGCCCGCCGCG